ACCUCACGGCCCUGUGCCGUUCCUCCCGCACGCCCCCGCGUCGUUCUUCCUCCCGCAAUCGGGCGUGGGCCGCAGGUCGCCGAGCCGUCGCCGGAGCCGUCCUUCGCCGCGGGCCGCAGGUCGCCGAGCCGCGUGCCGCCGAAGCUGCCCUUCGCCGCAGGCCGCAGGUCGCCGAGCCACCGCCCCGGAGCCGCCCUUUGCUGCGGGCCACAGGUCGCCGAGCCGCAGCCCCGGAGCCGCCCUUUGCCGCGGGCCACCAGAGCCGCCCUUCGCCGCAGCCUCGCCGCACGCUGUGUCCUCCAAGGAGAUGGAAGCUGCUGUUCAACGAGGAGGGUUGUCUAUACGCAGCUGGAAUGAUCAUGAGAGUACAGCGUGGGGGUGUCCACCGAAAUAUCAAAGGGGAAGUAUAUAUGGGAGUUUUUUCUGGGUUGUUACGACCCUAAAAGCACUACUGAACAGAGGAACCAGUUGCGGCAACAGAGAAGGCAUCCGAUGUUAGGAAAGAGAGGAGAUGGUCUUCGUCAGUUGCACUGAAGCAUGGGAAUGAUGCAGGUGAAGCGUGGAGAAGGACACCGACGUUGCCGAGGUUGUUAUAGCAGCGACACUCGAGAACGCUCAAGAGAAGAGUAGACGUGCCUGGGUGGCUGGGUGACUCUGACCACUGGAAGCAGUUAAUCACACGAUUGUAAAGGAAUACGCGAAGCUGAUGAGACUAGAGCUAAUGUUCUUUCUCUUGGAUUCCUCAGUUAGGUGCUUGAUCAAGGCUGCGUAUGAGCUUAUUAACAUCGAUGGUGUGCUAAAUGUGAUCAUAAGGAACCAGGAAAAGGAGUAUGUCUCUUAAUGGACAUCUUUCUAUUUUGCAUUGAACUUUGAUUAAUUAUUUUACUGUACAUUUUCCAAAAUUCAAGGAUUGGCUUCUUACUCAUUACAAAUAGUUCCAGUCUUUAUUCUUAGUUUCUACAGUUACAUAAAGAACAAUGUUCAAAUUCACUGACCUGUGCUUUGUGACAGUACUUCACUGUAUGUUCAUUAUAUAUGCAUGUAGCAAUACUUCCUUUCAAUCUAUUCAUUAGUUCGUAAGCUAGAUCGUGUGCCAAGUUGUAUUUACUGGACACUUGUUACUCUUUUUCUUGUGCAAUUAUUCAGUCCUGGUUAUAUUUUGUGGUAUUUCUGAAUUGCGUAAAUGACUCGAAACAUCGGGAGCUACUAAAUCUUGCCUGUACUGAAUGUGUGCUUUUUUGCAAUAUCAAAAUACGGUUCUCCUUAAAAGUAUUAUUUUCCCUUCUACUGAAUAUGCUUCUGGAAAAGGAUCUCAACAGAUCAACCAGAAGGAGAAGAGAGUAGCCAAAGACAAGUUAAGAACAAGACACAUGCUUCAGAUUAACUCCUAUUCCUAGACCUGUAUGCUUUUGAUGAUUGAAUUAGAUCAAACGAGUAUAUAUUUCUAAAGAUUAAUGGAUUCUAAUCGUAUGAUUUUGACAUGCAGCUAAGUUUUCCAUAUGUUUGACUAUUGUGUUGCCGUGCAAAUAUGCAGAAGGAUGGUCUACCUUUUUGGGACUUGGUUUUGUGAAUCGAUGUGUUAUCUUGAGCAAAUAUCUUACCAUUUGUACAAUGUUAUAAUAUGAACUUUUACUAUUGAUAUAUCAUACUAUAUGUCGAAUGUGUCAAUACAUAUAUACUUGCGGCAACUUCUAACUGAAAUUUAUUUUUCACCUACAAAAAUAUAUAGAUUCUUCAUCCAUGUUUUCAUGUCGAUACCUGAUUUACAUGUCCAUACAGUUGGGCUGUUCGAGCUAACACUGCAAGGCCUUACAGUGCAUCAGGGGCAUCUAAUAAAGUUUUUAGGUUUGUCCCUAGAACUAUUAUAUCUAGACAAGAUACUUGCUUACAGAACCAUCAGAGCUGAACCUUCUAGGUAAUUUUACAUAAUCAGCGGUUGGGCGCCCACAAUCAUCCAUGAUUUGCGUCGAAGCGAGAUAAGGUUUACUCAUGUUCUUAUAGUUUGUUUCUCUUUUCUGUUUUGCUUGGUUGAUUUUCAGUUAUAGAGAAGAGUUAGAGUUGGAUGGAGUAUCAAACAAUGGAAUCAAAUCAUGCAUGGUAUUGUAAGUCAACCAUAUAAGCAUAGACAUGUUUUCAGUUUUCCAAUGUAUAGUGGAAGUUAUUUAAGUCGUUUGAAAUAUUAAUACAGAGUUUUUCCUAUUGAUGUUUGCUGUGAACGAUGUGAAUAUAUUCCCUUAAAAAAAUUCGUGUGAAUAUAUUUGGAUGGUUUCAUCUUCAAA